ensembl:miRNA
GUCCUUUGGGGUGAGGUAGUAGGUUGUAUAGUUUUAGGGUUAUACCCUGCCUGUCAGAUAACUAUACAAUCUACUGUCUUUCCUGAAGUGGCU